GCUUGUUUUUUUUUCACUGAACUUUUUAUAAACCCCUGAAUGGGAUUGAAAAUACUGCAUUGGUUUAUAAUAAAGAUGCUGUAUAAUAAGCACUGUAAAUCAGAAUUCAAUUUAAUUUUGAUAAAGGCAAGUUUUUGUCAAGCAGUAUCUAUAAGAAAUGAUGGACAUUUUUGGUCAGUGUUGAUUCACCCUAUUGAUCAGGAUUUUGAUACAUUUCUCAUAAACUGUUCUUGUUUUAAGGCUCUCAGAUUUUCUACCUAGUGAAUGAAAAGUACAGUACUGCUGUUGGAAGAGGAGUAUCAUGGCUAUGGAUAAAAGAAGGUUUCAUUACAUAUGGACAAUUAUAUUGGACAGAAUAAGAAAAGUAUUCUAAUAAGUUCUGGAAUGUGGCUUGUUAUGAUGGGUCUACAUGAUUGACUUGGAGUACAACCUGAUGGAGGCCUGGCUUGCAGAAUUCAGUCCUGAACAUGUUUAGAAUGUCUUCUGCAUGACUUGGUGUAGUAUUCUUGAAGGAUUAUAACUUCAACACAGAGACAGAGAUUAAUAUUUUAGGCAGGUGAUUGGCAUGACGCAAAUUCUCCAACCGUAUUGCCAUUCCUGAGCUGGAUGCCAGUCGACAGUUGUACCUGUAUAAUGAAAUAGCGCCCCUUUGCAGCAACAACAAUGUAUGCUCAAAAUUAGCAGUGCCAAAGCCAUUAAAAUUGAGAAUUCAGUCAUUUAAAACAAAAUUAAUGGAAAAAAGUGUUUAACAUUUAAAGUAAUACAGAGAAAGAGCUCAGCUCAUUUGGUACUUUCUGAAAUUUUAAUUAAUUUGAAAGUGUUUUUGAAUUUUUAAAGGUGUACUAGAUCAAAAUUCCAUAAAUAUGAAUAUGAACAAAUGCUACAUUAUGGUGUCAGCAGUAGUAUGCAUUGGUUAAAUAUAGACACACUGUAUGUAUGUAAGGCUGAGCACAGUAUAAAUGUGAAAUUCCUAAAAGACACUGGAAGAAUUUUCAACAAUCUACAGUUUAGUACUGCAUGAGAUAAAAUUAUGAAUGGUGCUCUACAUACACAUGAUUUAUACAUUAAGCAAAGUUAAAUAUAUUUAUUGAUCAUCUUGAUGAUUUUCUACAUUUUAAGUAAUUACCUAAAUGUUAAAUAUUUUAGUGAAGAUAUAUUUUAUGCAACUAUAUUAGUUGAAAAAAGCUACCAUCCAGGAAGAAUAUUUUGAAAUGAUACUUUUACUUGAAAAUUUAUGUGAAAAAUGAAUGAAAUAGAUGUUAAAAUGAAUUCUUUAUUUUAUAAAAAAAUGUUGUUGCCAUGGAAACAGAACUUGAGUAUUAAGUUUAUUUGCUUUCAUACCAGAGUUAUAUGACUUUUAAUUAUAAUAAUGUUAACAAUUUAAUGUUAUAUAAUCAUCACUCAUCUGAUACUUUUGAUUUUCAAUUUACAGUCAUUGAGCAAUGCAUCUUAAGUACAUUUGAAGUUGAAUGACACAUUACAAAUAUUAGAUAUGUAUGGAAUUGCUUUCAGAUAGUUUUGAGAUGAAUAUAAAUCAGAAAAUUCACAAAUUCUAGUUCUUCUAGAGAACUAAUAUACAUUUUAUAAAUUUACAUUUUUUGUAUCAAAUGUAGACUAAAAUGUCUGUUAAAUUGACAUUUAAAGCAAUUCUUGUAUUUUGUUGCUAUGGAAACAUGAAUUGUGACAAUUUUUUAAUAUAAAAUAGCAUAUUUAUAGCAAGAAGUCAUUAUCAACUGUGCUAAUCAUGUUAAAUUCUUUUGAUAUUGAUGGAAAAAUAUGAAAUUAAAAUAUAUGAUAAAAGUAAAUGAUUUUAUUAUUUGUCAUUAUUAUUAAACAAAAAAUGCAAGAUUGCGAUGGGGAGUUAUUGUACAAAAAAUGCUAUAAUUUUGUUAUUUUAAAAGAUGCAGGUCUAAAAUUUUUAAUUUAUGUUAAGGACACAUGUACAGUUCAGAAUAUGUGAAAAACUCGGUUUCCAUAAAAAUGUCAUUUGGGACCAUUUUGUCAUGGCUUGUCACAUAUAUGUACUGUUGCUGAACAAUACGGAUAAUAAAGCGGGAAAAAAGAU